UACAGAGGGGGCAAGCGUUGUUCGGAAUUACUGGGCGUAAAGGGCGCGUAGGCGGCCGCCUAAGUCAGACGUGAAAUCCCACGGCUCAACCGUGGAACUGCUGGGUAUACUGGCGGUCUUGAGCCACCUAGGGGCGAGCGGAACAAGCGGUGGAGCGGUGAAAUGCGUAGAUAUCGCUUGGAACGCCAACGGUGAAAACAGCUCGCUGGGGGUGUGCUGACGCUGAGACACGAAAGCCAGGGGAGCGAACGGG
rnacentral:rRNA from 1 species